GACGAACGCUGGCGGCGUGCUUAACACAUGCAAGUCGAACGCUGAAGCUUGGUGCUUGCACUGGGUGGUUGAGUGGCGAACGGGUGAGUAAUACGUGAGUAACCUGCCCUUGACUCUGGGAUAAGCCUGGGAAACUGGGUCUAAUACUGGAUACGACAUGUCACCGCAUGGUGGCGUGUGGAAAGGGUUUUACUGGUUUUGGAUGGGCUCACGGCCUAUCAGCUUGUUGGUGGGGUAAUGGCUCACCAAGGCGACGACGGGUAGCCGGCCUGAGAGGGUGACCGGCCACACUGGGACUGAGACACGGCCCAGACUCCUACGGGAGGCAGCAGUGGGGAAUAGUGCACAAUGGGCGAAAGCCUGAUGCAGCGACGCCGCGUGAGGGAUGACGGCCUUCGGGUUGUAAACCUCUUUCAGCACGGAAGAAGCGAAAGUGACGGUACGUGCAGAAGAAGCGCCGGCUAACUACGUG
rnacentral:rRNA from 1 species